GCCGCUGGCGAUGCUCGAUGCAUUGAAGCAUUCAGGCAGGGGGCGUGUGACAUGAUUACAGCCCGGAUGCCACCGGCGCAAAGCUGCUCCCCUGACCGACUCUUACAAUGAUCAGCGCGUCCCGAAUCGACAUGCAGAUUAUUUGACAACCUUUCCACGAGUACAAGGAGAAACAGACACUGCUCUUCAGGGGAUGACAAAUUACCAGACUGGUUUAAGGCCAAGAAAAUGAAGUCAACCUUUAUCCACAGUAAGCCACGCUGUGACAUUUGAUAUCUGCAGCUGACUGCUGUCUACCUUUCUUCGUUACAUCUCAAAGGGAAUGUGAGUACGUAAUCAGGAGGCCCAACUCUCAUCAAUCUUCCGAUGCUCAGAAUGGCAGGCUCUAUUUCUCACUGACUGGGCCAUAAGGUUAACGCCCUUGGAGACCACUGGAAUAUAAAAACAACAGAUUAGAAAAAGGUCAUUUCACAUCGGGGGCAUCCAGUUCUUGGCCAGGCUGAUGGGAAAGUGUCAUUUCUUGUUUAAAGGUGGAGCGUGAAUUGUGCUUGGGAAAUUAACAAUGGUUGUUUAGAAUCAAGGGUGGCUUUCACCAGCAGCAGCUCGUACACAGAAAAACACUAGAUGGGUCAUAAACAUCAUGGAAUUCCAAAUACUCAGUCAGACAUUGCACGUAAUGACAUUUUAAUGGCACCCGACAUUUUAACUAUAACAGAAUUAAAACACGAUGCCUCUUAUCAAUGUUGCUACAUUCACUUUGAUGGCAAGGCCUGGUUAACACAACCCUUGAGAGUCAGGUAGCUUUAAUGAACAAUAUUCCACUCUAGGUUGGCAUAACAUCAUUUGGUUCAGAGGCCAACCAGUUGGCAGGGAGUUCCAGAGGAUAGAGA